UACAGAGGGCCCAAGCGUUGUUCGGAUUCAUUGGGCGUAAAGGGUGCGUAGGCGGCUCGGUAAGUCGGGUGUGAAAUCUCGGAGCUUAACUCCGAAACUGCAUUCGAUACUGCGGGGCUUGAGGACUGGAGAGGAGACUGGAAUUCAUGGUGUAGCAGUGAAAUGCGUAGAGAUCAUGAGGAAGACCAGUGGCGAAGGCGGGUCUCUGGACAGUUCCUGACACUGAGACACGAAGGCCAGGGGAGCAAACGGG
rnacentral:rRNA from 1 species